rnacentral:piRNA from 1 species
UUGGAAGAGGACAGUGAGUCUCGGUGU